rnacentral:rRNA from 1 species
GACAGAGGUCCCGAGCGUUAGGCGGAAUCACUGGGCUUAAAGCGUGUGUAGGCGGAUUGGUAAGUACCUUGUGAAAUCCCACGGCUCAACCGUGGAACUGCUUGGUAUACUGCUUAUCUUGGGCCACUUAGGGGUUACCGGAACAAACGGUGGAGCGGUGAAAUGCGUAGAUAUCGUUUGGAACACCAAUGGUGAAAACAGCUCGCUGGGGAUGUGCCGACGCUGAGAUACGAAAGCCAGGGGAGCGAACGGG